rnacentral:rRNA from 1 species
GAUGAACGCUAGCGGCAGGCUUAAUACAUGCAAGUCGAGGGGCAGCGGGGGUAGCAAUACCUGCCGGCGACCGGCAAACGGGUGCGGAACACGUACAGAACCUUCCUUUAAGUGGGGGAUAGCCCGAAGAAAUUCGGAUUAAUACCCCGUAACAUUGUGUAGUGGCAUCACUAUAUAAUUACAGAUUUAUCGCUUAGAGAUGGCUGUGCGGCUGAUUAGGUAGUUGGUGGAGGAACGGCUCACCAAGCCUUCGAUCAGUAACUGGU